rnacentral:lncRNA from 1 species
UCCAUUCUCCCUUCAUUUCCUCUCUACUUGUGUUCUCUUUUUUUUCUUUUCCAUUCAUUAUUUCUUCCCUCUUGAAAAAGAGUUUCUACUAUAUUGAGAGUUUCCUGACUUAGUUGUGGCAGCAAGAAAGAACAAAAGGAGCAAACAGUUUAUGCCUCAAGAACUUCUAAAAUUGGCUAGAGUUUAUUCUUCCAUUUUGAUCUUUGUUUUUGUUUAAUUCAUAAACAUGAUUUCAACUAAGUUUUUGAUUUUCAAUGUAAUUAUAAUUUCUUAAACUCAUUGGUGUUAGAAUAAUCUGAUUUCCAUAGUUUGUUUUAUUUGUUUAAUUUACAAAAUUUCUCAUUCAAACUAAUUUGUUAUUUAUUUUCUACACUCAUGCCGCCCAGCCAUUUCAUGUGUGCC